rnacentral:lncRNA from 1 species
AGAUAGUUUGUACAUAGCCUGUAUGUCAGACCUUUUAUUUGAAGAUUUUAGAAAAAUACAAAGUUCUAAAGUAUUUAGACACUGGGUAAUAUACAAGUGAGAGUCCAAGGCCAGCCUGGUACUUAGUGUGUUUCCAACUGGCUAGAGCUUCAUUGUGAGACUGACUUAAAAAAAAAAAAAAAGUGUGUGUGCACGCUUAUAUUUAAAAACAAAAAAGCUUUAAGCUUAAAGCAGUGGUAUAUUGUUAGUGAAAACAUUUCAGUUGGCAUAGAGUAUGUGCACUAAAAAGUAAGCUUCCUAUUUUCACACUAUUGUGGCUCUUUCUUUCUCUCUCUCUCUCUCUCUCUCUCUCUCUCCUUCCUUCCUUCCUUCCUUCCUUCCUUCCUUCCUUCUCUCUCUCUCUCUCUCUCUCUCUCUCUCUCUCUCUUUCUUUCUUUCUUUCUUUCUUUCUUUCAUUCAUUCAUGUGUAUGAGUACACUGUAGCUGUCUUCAGACACACCAGAGAGGGCAUCAGAUCUCAUUACAGAUGGUUGUGAGCCACCAUGUGGUUGCUGGGAAUUGAACUCAGGACCUCUAGAAGAACAAUCAGUGCUCUUAACCGCUGAGCCAUCUCACCAGCCCGUGGCCAUUUCUUAGAGUUAAUUUUCAGGCAUGUAAAAAUCAGAUUUUUAUGCAUCUGCUGUAAGCUGUUUACAGCACAUUUACAAGAGUGCAGUUUAAAUAUUGCUCAGUAGCUUGCCUGUUUUGAUUUACAUUGCCGGUAUCUUUCCAUGUCAGUCUGUUUCAUUCUGCCUUGUUUUGUUUUCUCUCUAAUAUGCAUAGCUGUCUUCUUGUUCUAGGUAGGGAGCUAGUUAGGUCCUAUACUCUGUCUGCUAGGCACAGUACCUCAGGUAGCUGUUGUUACUGGAACAGCAGCUGCCCUGCUCAUGAUCCCUCACCAUUGUCUCUUGUGAGCCGAAUAGGCAGCUUUAAAAACAAAACAGAACAAAGCAGGGACAGCUCUAGAAAACGUCACAGUAUUUUUAAAGGUGCUUAUAUUUCUGAUGUCCUCAGUAUUUACAGCUUGCUUAUGGAUGACCCGAUUGUUAUAUACAACUUUGCUGUUGUUUUUGGUUUUGAGACAGACUCUCACUAUCGAGCCCUGGUUGUCACGGUGCUCACUCUGUAGACCAGGCUAGCUCUAGCCCACAGAUCCACCUGUGCUGGAGCUGCAGGCAUGUACCACCAUGCUCAGCUGCAGUCUGCUGUGGAAAAGAGUUUUAAGGCCAGGCUUGCUUACAUGCUUUUAAUUCCUGCCACUGGGGAGGUGAGUUCAAGAGUGGACUACAAAGUGAGUCUAGGAGAGCCAGGGCUACACAGAGAAGCAAGAAACCCCGUCUCAAAAAACCAAAACCGCAUCAAAAGAUGGCCUAGUCGGCCAUCACUGGAAAGAGAGGCCCAUUGGACACGCAAACUUUAUAUGCCCCAGUACAGGGAGUGGGUGGGUAGGGGAGUGGGUGGGUAGGGGAGAGGGGGUGGGUGGCUAUGGGGGACUUUUGGUAUAGCAUUGCAAAUGUAAAUGAGCGAAAUACCUAAUAAAAAAUGGAAAAAAAAAAAAAACAAAAAACAAAAAACCAAAACCAAACC